GCCGUCGUAGCGCGAUGGUAGCGCGUCGCUUUCCUAAGUUGUAGUGUAGGCGAAGGUUGCGAGUUCGAUCCUCGUCGUCGGUA